rnacentral:rRNA from 1 species
UGGGGAAUUUUGGACAAUGGGGGAAACCCUGAUCCAGCAAUGCCGCGUGUGUGAAGAAGGCCUUCGGGUUGUAAAGCACUUUUGUCCGGAAAGAAAACCUUCGCUCGAAUACAGUGGGGGGAUGACGGUACCGGAAGAAUAAGCACCGGCUAACUACGUGCCAGCAGCCGCGGUAAUACGUAGGGUGCGAGCGUUAAUCGGAAUUACUGGGCGUAAAGCGUGCGCAGGCGGUUCGUUAAGACAGAUGUGAAAUCCCCGGGCUUAACCUGGGAACUGCAUUUGUGACUGGCGAGCUAGAGUAUGGCAGAGGGGGGUAGAAUUCCACGUGUAGCAGUGAAAUGCGUAGAGAUGUGGAGGAAUACCGAUGGCGAAGGCAGCCCCCUGGGCCAAUACUGACGCUCAUGCACGAAAGCGUGGGGAGCAAACAGGAUUAGAUACCCCUGUAGUCC